GUCUACGGCCAUAUCACGUUGAAAACACCGGUUCUCGUCCAAUCACCGAAGUUAAGCAACGUCGAGCCCGGUUAGUACUUGGAUGGGUGACCGCCUGGGAAUACCGGGUGCUGUAGGCUU
rnacentral:rRNA from 1 species